rnacentral:misc_RNA from 1 species
UGAGGCCCUGAGUCAUGUC